ACCGGAUUAAACUGACCACAGUCCUUCUAAAUGUAACAAAAUACAUUCCUUCCCAACAUUUUGGGAAGAAGGCCACCAUUUUACGGAGGUGAAACUCAAACUUACAGCGUGUGACUAGGAGUUUAAAAAAAAAGAAGCGAGGUUUGGUUUAAAGGUGUGAAUAAACGUACCACUUGUACUUAUUCAAAGGCAGCAAGAACCACAGAAUUAGUUUCCUUUAAGGUUAGAGGGUUUUGCUAACUUUUAACUUGUUUUUCUCGAGGCAUGACGCGUAACUUUAAAGUCAGAUGGAAGCACACAGGCGAAGCAAAGAGAUGCUGUACCUGCCCCCAUGUCCUACAGAUGCCGAGGCAACAAAACGUGUUUGAGACGAACCAUGAACUCCUACCAACACCACUUGUCUUCAACAUGUAGAGAACUUACCGAGAGUCAGCCGAGUGAAGCAGAAGACCACGACUAGAGCCGUGCCCAGGAAGAAACCGGAUGCCACCUUCAGACAUCUGGAAACUGUACCCAAGUAGGAACCAGACCUGCAGAGGGUCACAGGGAAGCUGGUGCCUAUCUCCAGCAGUCACAGGCCUUCCACCAUGGUCACGUCAGAAGCCAGAACAUGAGGACACAUUGACUCAAAGGACAGACAACAUUUCACACACAUACACACACACACACACAUUGAACUUCCCAUUAACCUGGUAUAUUUUCUUUUUUUGAACUGUGGGAGAAAACUGGAGUACCUAUGCUCUCAAGGCAACAGUGCUGACCAUCAAAGCAGCUUACUUUAUAAAAACAAUGUAAACAAGAUUAUGGAAUAUUUUUAGAUUAUGGAAUACAACAUCCCAAAAUCAUCUGUUUCAUGUUUUUAAAUUAAAUAAUCUUUUUCCUUUAUUAACAUUUUGCUGACCAUUAGUCAUUUCACCCAACUUAAAGAGUAAGACAUGUUCCAGUUAAGACUUUUGGUCUCUGUUUGGUAAACAAAUGCAAAGUCUGAAUUAUUUUGGUAAUGAAACAAUAAUUUGUUUUCCCCAAUGUCGGCUUUAAAUAACUUAACUCCUUGCAAAUCUAUUCAUACCCCUUGACGUUUUUCCAUUGUGCCACAUUACCGAACAUGAGAGCUGAUAUUCUGGUUUAUUUAUACCCCCUGAACUUUUUUUUUAAAUAAUUUACAACCAUACUUCAUGAACUAAUAAUCAUUAUUCAUACCCCUGGCAGAUUUAGAUUUUAUUGUAUUUUCAUUCAGUCAACUCUGCUAGGA